GGGAUAACCUUGGGAAACUGAGGAUAAUACUGGAUAGGCAAUUUUUCCUGUAAUGGUUUUUUGUUUAAAUGUUUUUUCGCCUAAGGAUGGGUCUGCGGCCGAUUAGGUAGUUGGUUAGGUAAUGGCUUACCAAGCCGUUGAUCGGUACGGGUUGUGAGAGCAAGAGCCCGGAGAUGGAACCUGAGACAAGGUUCCAGGCCCUACGGGGUGCAGCAGGCGCGAAACCUCCGCAAUGUGAGAAAUCGCGACGGGGGGAUCCCAAGUGCCAUUCUUAACGGGAUGGCUUUUCAUUAGUGUAAAAAGCUUUUGGAAUAAGAGCUGGGCAAGACCGGUGCCAGCCGCCGCGGUAACACCGGCAGCUCUAGUGGUAGCAAUUUUUAUUGGGCCUAAAGCGUCCGUAGCCGGUUUAAUAAGUCUCUGGUGAAAUCCUGUAGCUUAACUGUGGGAAUUGCUGGAGAUACUAUUAGACUUGAGACCGGGAGAGGUUAGAGGUACUCCCAGGGUAGAGGUGAAAUUCUGUAAUCCUGGGAGGACCGCCUGUUGCGAAGGCGUCUAACUGGAACGGUUCUGACGGUGAGGGACGAAAGUUAGGGGCGCGAA
rnacentral:rRNA from 1 species